UUGUUUUUGCUCUCCAACUGGUGCCAAAUUGGUUCGAGAGCAACUUGAUGACUGCAUCGAAUCGGGUGACUCAAUACAAAUAUGGCGGCCAACUAUUCAUGAUGCACGCGCGUUUCGAUUGCUGUUUUCACUAUGAUAACGGUCGUAGAUGACUAUGAUAUUGCAGGAAAAAUAGUAUUCCAUUAUCAUUCAAAGUAUAGAGUUUUUGAAGACGACCAUUUGCUUUGUUUUGAAGACGACCUAAUGGUUUUGAAAGUGAUUCAAUUGUCGUAGGAGUGAACGGCAGAAAACAAAUUAUGUCAGUAUUCUUAUGCUGUUGAAGCUGGGUUGAAAACAGAGUAUUUACCCCCCAAUCUGAUUAACGAGCUCAUCAGAGAUGUCUGCACAAGUGUGCUAAGAUUUACAAGCCAUCCCAGCAAAACAGAAUGAGUAAAGAUUGCACUGAUGAUUGUCGAAUCAUAUCCAUUCUUGAAGGAUCCACUGUUUGAUGCAAACUCAAAGCCAUGGGGGUCUAUUGAGAUGAAAAUCUAUAACCGAUUCAAAAAAUUGCAAAGAAAGAGAUCUAACACGCCUGUUACCAAUGUCUCGCAAACUAAAGGCAAAACAACAAAGAAAAAGAACAGUCACUGUUCUUCAAAAAGAUUGGCGAUGCUCUGGUUGCUUUUUUGGCCACAUACUAUAUAUACAAUAUACAAUACAUUGAUGGCAAGAAUGUCUAUAGCUUUCUUGACAUGGCAUUAUUGGGAAUUAUCCCAGAGAAGUGUCCAUCUUCUGUGAAAAGUUUAGUUGGAGUAUUAUCAAAUGUGUUCAACUAAUCAUGAAUGCAUAUGCGUGGUAUAUACAUUAUGUUUUAUUUCAAUUCUUUUUUGUGAAGUUUAAUUUCAGUGACAUAAAAAUAUGUGCAUGUAAACUAUUUUAAUGAAGGUGUUAAGCACUUAUGUGCUUACGUAUAUUAUACGAGUCUUGUUUAUUGUAA